UGGGGAAUAUUGGACAAUGGGCGAAAGCCUGAUCCAGCCAUGCCGCGUGUGUGAAGAAGGUCUUCGGAUUGUAAAGCACUUUAAGUUGGGAGGAAGGGCAGUAAGCGAAUACCUUGCUGUUUUGACGUUACCGACAGAAUAAGCACCGGCUAACUCUGUGCCAGCAGCCGCGGUAAUACAGAGGGUGCAAGCGUUAAUCGGAAUUACUGGGCGUAAAGCGCGCGUAGGUGGUUCGUUAAGUUGAAUGUGAAAGCCCCGGGCUCAACCUGGGAACGGCAUCCAAAACUGGCGAGCUAGAGUAGGGCAGAGGGUGGUGGAAGUUCCUGUGUAGCGGUGAAAUGCGUAGAUAUAGGAAGGAACACCAGUGGCGAAGGCGACCACCUGGGCUCAUACUGACACUGAGGUGCGAAAGCGUGGGGAGCAAACAGG
rnacentral:rRNA from 1 species